rnacentral:rRNA from 1 species
GAUGAACGCUGGCGGCGUGCCUAAUACAUGCAAGUCGAGCGAACGGACGAGAAGCUUGCUUCUCUGAUGUUAGCGGCGGACGGGUGAGUAACACGUGGAUAACCUACCUAUAAGACUGGGAUAACUUCGGGAAACCGGAGCUAAUACCGGAUAAUAUUUUGAACCGCAUGGUUCAAAAGUGAAAGACGGUCUUGCUGUCACUUAUAGAUGGAUCCGCGCUGCAUUAGCUAGUUGGUAAGGUAACGGCUUACCAAGGCAACGAUGCAUAGCCGGCCUGAGAGGGUGAUCGGCCACACUGGAACUGAGACACGGUCCAGACUCCUACGGGAGGCAGCAGUAGGGAAUCUUCCGCAAUGGGCGAAAGCCUGACGGAGCAACGCCGCGUGAGUGAUGAAGGUCUUCGGAUCGUAAAACUCUGUUAUUAGGGAAGAACAUAUGUGUAAGUAACUGUGCACAUCUUGACGGUACCUAAUCAGAAAGCCACGGCUAACUACGUGCCAGCAGCCGCGGUAAUACGUAGGUGGCAAGCGUUAUCCGGAAUUAUUGGGCGUAAAGCGCGCGUAGGCGGUUUUUUAAGUCUGAUGUGAAAGCCCACGGCUCAACCGUGGAGGGUCAUUGGAAACUGGAAAACUUGAGUGCAGAAGAGGAAAGUGGAAUUCCAUGUGUAGCGGUGAAAUGCGCAGAGAUAUGGAGGAACACCAGUGGCGAAGGCGACUUUCUGGUCUGUAACUGACGCUGAUGUGCGAAAGCGUGGGGAUCAAACAGGAUUAGAUACCCUGGUAGUCCACGCCGUAAACGAUGAGUGCUAAGUGUUAGGGGGUUUCCGCCCCUUAGUGCUGCAGCUAACGCAUUAAGCACUCCGCCUGGGGAGUACGACCGCAAGGUUGAAACUCAAAGGAAUUGACGGGGACCCGCACAAGCGGUGGAGCAUGUGGUUUAAUUCGAAGCAACGCGAAGAACCUUACCAAAUCUUGACAUCCUUUGACAACUCUAGAGAUAGAGCCUUCCCCUUCGGGGGACAAAGUGACAGGUGGUGCAUGGUUGUCGUCAGCUCGUGUCGUGAGAUGUUGGGUUAAGUCCCGCAACGAGCGCAACCCUUAAGCUUAGUUGCCAUCAUUAAGUUGGGCACUCUAAGUUGACUGCCGGUGACAAACCGGAGGAAGGUGGGGAUGACGUCAAAUCAUCAUGCCCCUUAUGAUUUGGGCUACACACGUGCUACAAUGGACAAUACAAAGGGCAGCGAAACCGCGAGGUCAAGCAAAUCCCAUAAAGUUGUUCUCAGUUCGGAUUGUAGUCUGCAACUCGACUACAUGAAGCUGGAAUCGCUAGUAAUCGUAGAUCAGCAUGCUACGGUGAAUACGUUCCCGGGUCU